CGCCCGCGAUCCUGGGAGUGCCCUAGCCAAGACUACAAGAGCCAGGCCAGGAAGAGGCUUCGCGUUUCGAGGCCAGGUGCGAUCGACUGAGCGUUGUGACGCAGCAUACCGGUAUUCGCGAUGUAGAAAACCACCGUUUACCCUCUUGCUUGGGCUUAUUCGGCGCAUUGUUCAGAACUAGAAGUGUAGCAACAUCUGCCCUCUUGCUAUUCCAGCAGUGGGCAAUCACUCUGGAUAUGGGUGCCUGUUUGGCUGGUUCAUCAGCAUGAGACUCAUCAAGACUCGUAGAUGUACGCCUGCAAAAGAUUUCCACUCAAUGGCCAAGUCACCUCUGCCUGGAACUGUGAGCUGCAUGUACACAUACCCUACCGUAACGGUAUAUCCCACUGUACAUGCUGGCGAUAUGUGUGCCAUGAAGCACUCGCAGAGCAGCUGUGGCUCAUACCGACAGAAGCAUUGCCGCAUCGGAGUGGAUGUUGAGAACAUGACGUGGACAAGAUGACCGUUGGGCACCGGCGACCGCAUGAUGUCCAGGCUCCCAGACUGCCUCAACCUGCUUGCAUCUGCCCAAGCAAUAAGCAGUGUAUUGCCACUAUCCUGACUGACUUCUGGAUCUGCAGCAGACCAUGCAGCAGCUGAUUUUGGAAGAUUGGAGCGGAUGAUAAACGGAGUGUGUAUGGACAAAGUGCCUGUCAGGAAUUUUUGUAUCCCGACUCCGCCGUACCGCUGAUGUUUACGACGUGGCAUACGCUACUGGCGCCAUGUGCGGUUUGCUGUGUGCGCUGUAGUUGUAUGUUGGAUGUGUAUGCUUUUCUCAUAUACGCUGUCAUUUUCACGCUAUAACUACCUGGUGGUUUUAGUGUUAGUUAUUCAUUCAUUAUUGUUAUAGUCGAUGGAAGUGAAUUAUACUGUUGAGAAUAAAUAGUUGUCCUCGUGCCGUGUGGUCGUUCGUUCCUGAUACGUAAGAGAACCAGAGGGUUCACAACAAUAGUGUUAUGAUGUGCGAAGUUCUGUCUUUUCACAGUGUCGCUGCUCAUUGUGAUCUAACUUGGACACUAAGUUAGUGCUGGCCAAUGUGCAUUUCUGAUAAUGAGAGCACUGCAUUAUCCACUGUUAGUGCUGGCCAAUGUACUGUUCUUAUAAUAACAGCACUGCAUGAUCCACUGUUUGUUGUGCAUUGUCUAUUAUGCACUAGAGCACGGCACAAAUGUAUUCAUUGGCCUAGUUUUCAUUCAGAAUCCGUACAUGUAUGUUUUGGGAUUUGUGUGCAUGUGCGUAUAAAUGUGUGUAAGCGUGUCUGUUUCUGUACGUACACAGGAACCGGUAGAUCACAUGACUGCAUCAAUUCCACCCGUUCCAGAAACUUCAAGCAAGGAAUUGAGAGCAGGCCGUGAGUGUAUGCCACGUGUGCUGGUAUAGGUGACUGCGUGAUUUACAGGCUUCCAGACUGGCUCAACCUACUUGCACCUGCCCCGGGGCAAGCAACUAGGAGUGUACUGCCGUUAUCCUGACUGACUUGAGUGUCUGCUGUGCACCAAGCAGCAGCUGAUUUUGGAAGAUUGGAGUAGAUGACAUACGGAGUGUAAAUGGACAAAGUGCCUGUCUGGAAUUGGACCCUGUGGAUGUCCUGAUUGGAUCAAUUCUGGACUUUCCACAAACGUAUCGUAAAAGAGCAGGCCGUCAAGAUGCAUCAUCAGAAGCACAGUGUUUCCACCUGGCGCAGGAGAGGGUGAAAGCUUGCCUGAGCUUUCCGAAUCGAGAAUUUGUUGCCGCGAGUGCCGGCAUUACGCUUGCUUGCAACUAUGCUUUAUCUUUGUUCUUUUUUUCUUCUUCAAGUUUCUACUUUUAGCCAAGUCGGUAACAGUCUUUGUAUGGAAGGCACAUCCUGCCUCAAGGAUUUGUUUAAUCAUUUCACUACUACAAGUACAGGCAUGUACUUGUUCAUUGUGACUCUGUUUGCUGUGCAUGACACUCUAUUCUUAGUUACGUUCAUGUAUAUUUCUGCAAUGGUUAGCGUUGCUCCAUGCGGUGUGUUAUGCAUUUUCAGCUAGUCACUUUACAACCCUUCACUUUCCCACCAUAGAGUGUUAUCAAAAUUAUCUUUGAAAUCCUCUGUAAUCUCUCUCUUUCUGUAGCAACUCCAAACCUGUGCCAAUAGUUCAAG